rnacentral:rRNA from 1 species
UACGAAGGGGGCUAGCGUUGCUCGGAAUCACUGGGCGUAAAGCGCACGUAGGCGGAUUGUUAAGUCAGGGGUGAAAUCCUGGAGCUCAACUCCAGAACUGCCUUUGAUACUGGCAAUCUCGAGUCCGGGAGAGGUGAGUGGAACUCCGAGUGUAGAGGUGAAAUUCGUAGAUAUUCGGAAGAACACCAGUGGCGAAGGCGGCUCACUGGCCCGGUACUGACGCUGAGGUGCGAAAGCGUGGGGAGCAAACAGG